AUUGAACGCUGGCGGCAGGCCUAACACAUGCAAGUCGAACGGUAACAGGAAGAAGCUUGCUUCUUUGCUGACGAGUGGCGGACGGGUGAGUAAUGUCUGGGAAACUGCCUGAUGGAGGGGGAUAACUACUGGAAACGGUAGCUAAUACCGCAUAACGUCGCAAGACCAAAAAGGGGGACCUUCGGGCCUCUUGCCAUCGGAUGUGCCCAGAUGGGAUUAGCUAGUAGGUGGGGUAACGGCUCACCUAGGCGACGAUCCCUAGCUGGUCUGAGAGGAUGACCAGCCACACUGGAACUGAGACACGGUCCAGACUCCUACGGGAGGCAGCAGUGGGGAAUAUUGCACAAUGGGCGCAAGCCUGAUGCAGCCAUGCCGCGUGUAUGAAGAAGGCCUUCGGGUUGUAAAGUACUUUCAGCGGGGAGGAAGGGAGUAAAGUUAAUACCUUUGCUCAUUGACGUUACCCGCAGAAGAAGCACCGGCUAACUCCGCG
rnacentral:rRNA from 1 species